UAAGACUUGUGUUGGACACACUCGAAGGUGACCUCCCCAAUAAUCCCACCGUCUGGUAUCAUACUCUUGAACAGUCCCUCCCUGUGAUGGUGAGCAGACAUGUGAUUUGCUUCUAAUCAACAUUGUAUGAUAAAAGGUGAUGGGAUAUCACUCCAUGAUUCCAUUAUAUGAUGUAAGACUCCAUCUUGCUAUCAAACUCACCUAACAGACUGUCUCUCCCUACCUGACAGUGAAGGAAUAAGCAGCCAUGAUGGGAGACCCAUAGGGCUUUCUUGCCAAGAAGCUGAAGGCAGCCUCAAGGGCCUGAGGGCAGUCGACAGCCUGCAGGAAGCUGGAACCCUCAGUCCUACAACCACAAGGAAAUGAGUUCUGCCAACAACCUGAGUGAACUCAGAAGCAGAUUCUUCCCUGGAUGAGCUUCCAGCUUAUUACAGCUAAAGGAUACAGAUUAAAAUCGGCAGCAGAAAAAGAUGCGUAAAGCAGAGUGCAAGACACACCAGGCGUAGGCUUCCAGUUGUCCUCUCCAGUGGAGUCCUGUGGACAGCACUUAAUUCUCCAGCCAUGUUUUACAGAUUGACAGACUGAGAGAACAGCCAGGAGCAUCAUCUCUACCUGGACCCAAUAUAGAUGAUGAUGGCAUUCUUUGACUUCUAGUAGAUACUACAUUGGGAUGAGUCUCUUAGAGAGCUUAGGAAGGAGUGAAUGUAUUUUUGCACAUGGAAGGGAUUAGAUUGAGAUGGACAGAUGCUAAGCUAUCUUCCCAAAUCCCCUCCCCUUGGUAGUAACACCUUUGUUUAAUCCCCCUCCUUGAGUAUGAAGACCUCUGACUUGCUUUUAACCAACGGAAUAGGAUGAGGGUGACGGGACGUUACUCCCAUUGUCGUGUUACAUUAUAAAAAACUCCAUCUUGCUAGCAGGCACACUCUGGGAACUUUCUCCUUUGUUGGAUGUGAGGAAACAAAAGGCCAUGUUAGAAAAUUCUAAGUGGCAAGAAACUGCAGCUAGCCUCUAUGAGCUGAGGAUGCCUUGAGUCAACAAUCAGGAAAAAACUAAAGCUCUCAGUUCUACAUCCCCAAGAAGCUAGAUGUUGCCAAACACCACAAAUGGGAAGUGGAUUUUUCCCCAGUGGAACCUCCAGAUGACAACCCCAGUCCUGGCCAACACCUUAACUGCAGCCUUGUGAGACCUGAAGCAGAGGGCUCAGCUAAGCCAUGUCAGUUCUCCUCACCCAAAGAAACUUGAGAUAAUAAAUGUGUGUUGUU